UCAAACUUGGUCAUUUAGAGGAAGUAAAAGUCGUAACAAGGUUUCCGUAGGUGAACCUGCGGAAGGAUCAUUAGAUAAGUGGCCCUUAGGGCUGCAAGGGAUACGGGAACCCUAAAAGCCGUGACUACCUUGCUUUUUAGAACCCCUGUUUCCUCGGUGGGCUAGCCCACCGAUAGGGACUGUCACAAACCCUUUGUACAAAGUAGUUCUGUCUGAUACUAAAACAAUCUUUAAAACUUUCAACAACGGAUCUCUUGGUUCUGGCAUCGAUGAAGAACGCAGC
rnacentral:misc_RNA from 1 species